rnacentral:rRNA from 1 species
CCCCUUAUGACCUGGGGUACCCCCGUGGUUCAAUGGACAGAACAAAGGGGUGCAAGGCCCCGAGGGGGAGCCAAUUUCAUAAAACCGUUUUCAGUUUGGGAUGCAGGGUGCAACUUGGCUGCCUGAAGCUGGAAUUGGUUGUAAUUGCGGAUCAGCAUGCCGCGGUGAAUACGUUUCCGGGCCUUGUACACCCCGCCCGUCACCCCCCGAGAGUUUCAACACCCGAAGUCGGUGGGGUAACCUUUUUGGAGCCAGCCGCCUAAGGUGG